GACGGACGCUGGCGGCGUGCCUAAUACAUGCCAGUAGAACGCACAGUUUAUACCGUAGCUUGCUACACCAUAGACUGUGAGUUGCGAACGGGUGAGUAACGCGUAGGUAACCUGCCUGGUAGCGGGGGAUAACUAUUGGAAACGAUAGCUAAUACCGCAUAAUAUUAAUUAUUGCAUGAUAAUUGAUUGAAAGAUGCAACUGCAUCACUACCAGAUGGACCUGCGUUGUAUUAGCUAGUAGGUGAGGUAACGGCUCACCUAGGCGACGAUACAUAGCCGACCUGAGAGGGUGAUCGGCCACACUGGGACUGAGACACGGCCCAGACUCCUACGGGAGGCAGCAGUAGGGAAUCUUCGGCAAUGGACGAAAGUCUGACCGAGCAACGCCGCGUGAGUGAAGAAGGGUUUCGGAUCGUAAAGCUCUGUUGUAAGAGAAGAACGGGUAUGAGAGUGGAAAGUUCACACUGUGACGGUAUCUUACCAGAAAGGGACGGCUAACUACGUG
rnacentral:rRNA from 1 species